rnacentral:rRNA from 1 species
CUUGAAUUUGGGUUUUUAACUUAGAUUUGGGUGGCGGACGGGGGGAGUAACGCGUAAAGAACUUGCCUCACAGCUAGGGACAACAUUUAGAAAUGAAUGCUAAUACCUGAUAUUAUGAUUUUAAGGCAUCUUAGAAUUAUGAAAGCUAUAAGCACUGUGAGAGAGCUUUGCGUCCCAUUGGCUAGUUGGAGAGGUAACAGCUCACCAAGGCGAUGAUGGGUAGCCGGUCUGAGAGGGUGAACGGCCACAAGGGGACUGAGACACGGCCCUUACUCCUACGGGAGGCAGCAGUGGGGAAUAUUGGACAAUGGACCGAGAGUCUGAUCCAGCAAUUCUGUGUGCACGAUGAAGUUUUUCGGAAUGUAAAGUGCUUUCAGUUGGGAAGAAAGAAAUGACGGUACCAACAGAAGAAGUGACGGCUAAAUACGUGCCAGCAGCCGCGGUAAUACCGUAUGUCACGAGCGUUAUCCGGAUUUAUUGGGCGUAAAGCGCGUCUAGGUGGUUAUGUAAGUCUGAUGUGAAAAUGCAGGGCUCAACUCUGUAUUGCGUUGGAAACUGUAUAACUAGAGUACUGGAGAGGUAAGCGGAACUACAAGUGUAGAGGUGAAAUUCGUAGAUAUUUGUAGGAAUGCCGAUGGGGAAGCCAGCUUACUGGACAGAUACUGACGCUAAAGCGCGAAAGCGUGGGUAGCAAACAGGAUUAGAUACCCUGGUAGUCCACGCUGUAAACGAUCGCUCACUAGGUGUUGGGGUCGAACCUCAGCGCCCAAGCAAAACGCGAUAAGUAAUCCGCCUGGGAGUACAUACGCAAGUAUG